AUUGAACGCUGGCGGCAGGCCUAACACAUGCAAGUCGAACGAGUGGCGGACGGGUGAGUAAAGUCUGGGAAACUGCCCGAUGGAGGGGGAUAACUACUGGAAACGGUAGCUAAUACCGCAUACCAUCGGAUGUGCCCAGAUGGGAUUGGCUAGUAGGUGGGGUAAUGGCUCACCUAGGCGACGAUCCCUAGCUGGUCUGAGAGGAUGACCAGCCACACUGUAACUGAGACACGGUCAAGACUCCUACGGGAGGCAUCAGUGGGGAAUAUUGCACAAUGGGCGCAAGCCUGAUGCAGCCAUGCCGCAUGUAUGAAGAAGGCCUUCGGGUGGUAAAGGACUUUCAGCGGGGAGGCGUUACCCGCAGAAGAAGCACCGGCUAACGCCGUGCCAGCCGCCGCGGUAAUUC
rnacentral:rRNA from 1 species